AAAAACAACAAAAAACUUUUGACCCAUUUUGUCAUUACUUCGAUAUAAUUUCUCAAAACAUGUACUGCACAACAACUUGGUCAAAUAUAUGCCAGUAAUGUUAGAUGCCCAGCCCGUGUCAUUUUUGUAAUUUACAUGAUAAUAUUCAUCCACUUACUGUAUUAUAUUUGCUUGUUGUUAUAUACUUGACAGACACUAAAGCAUCUGAGAGACUGUGACAUCCUGCAGUCACCUCAUCUUCUUAAAGACAUAGAACACCUAAGCCCCCAGUACCAGUCAUCAUCCAUAGAGGGAUUUCACAGCCUAAUAAUACAAUUUGCUCCCAAAAGCAAACAUUUCCCCUACUUGGGAAUGCUAUGCAGAAUUCUACUAGCUGCGCUACAUUACAAUGAGAACUCAGACAGGGGCUAUUCAAAGGGACCAAAUGGGGAGGCUGUGGUGAAGUUAAGGUGGCCAAAAUUCAAAAAAGGGGAGUUUUCAGUGCAUCGUACAAGACCUGACCCCACAUACAACUAUGUCAAUGACUUACAAAAGGUCCUCUUUGAGGAGGUGGUCGUUGACCCUGGCCGGUUUCAGGAACUGAAGGAUAAGGUUGACAUCCCAGAGAACCUGAAUGCACAACUCGCGAGGCCUGAUCCCAACCAGGCUAUUGCGCUCCCCUGGUCCCGCUUUGCCCAAGAGGAGCAGCAAUAAGAUUAAUCAUUUUCAAUAAAUAUCAUGUAAAAUGGAACACACCUACAA